UAGGCGAACAAAGAUAUCUGCGAGGUAUAUGUUCUAGUUUAUCCAAGGAGGCUUCAGCGCACGAUUCCAAGGCACGUUGCGCGUAGUUAGCCAAGAACUACUGCAACAGCGGGCGUCGUUCAAUACAGCAGGAUUACCCAGUGCUUUCGGAAACGACAGAGGGCGAUCAUCUGCCAUUGGAUUAGAAUAAUGGAAUAUACAAAAUUUUGUCUCUGGCUCACGUGCCUUUUCGCCCUUUUCUGCCUUGGAGAACAAAUACAUGGUUUUGGAUUUAUAUUUAAGCGAAAGGCCUCUCGGAAGACUGUAAGAAGGUUGCUGCAAGACAAAGAAGUGCUCCUUAUAAGCCGCGGCAUAUAUGGACGACCAGAUUAUCCUAUGUGCGUGCAAUCACGCUCACUUGGAUUAUAUGAACAGAUAAUUCGCGCCAAUUUCAGCUAUUAUGAAAAAGAUUUACAGGACUUGAGGACACAAGGACACAGGAUAUAUCGG